rnacentral:misc_RNA from 3 species
AACGCACCUUGCGCUCCUUGGUAUUCCGAGGAGCAUGCCUGUUUGAGUGUCAUGAAACUCUCACCCUCUAGCUUUCUUAAUCGUGGCUAGCGGCGUGGACGUGAGCGCUGCUGCUUUGUUGCGGCUCGCUCGAAAUGUAUUAGCAGACCCUUUUCGUAAUCGGUUCCACUCAACGUGAUAAGUAUUUCGUUGAGGACAGUUGCAGCAAUGCGGCUGGCCGGGAUAAGAAAGGCAUAGUUGUCAGCUUCUAAUCGCCCUCGGGCAAUUUUUUAUGAUCUGGCCUCAAAUCAGGUAGGACUACCCGCUGAACUUAA